GCUUUGUCUCUCUCUCCCUCCCCUUCACCUUCAAUGGUGCUGAUUGACCAAGCAAGACAGAGAUCUUGUGUCCUUGCCUGAGUUUGUGGGCGUUGCCUGAACUGUCAAUGCCUUAAUUCCUUUUACUGUUUAGUAUGUUUUUGUUAUGAAGUUUUAUUGUUUUCUUAGGAUGUCCUGUUUACCCUUUUCCUAAGUGAAUUAGAUAAAGAUUAUUACAGUAUUUAUAUUUCAUCUCAAAUCUUUAUUUUUCCAACAAAGGCUUGUAAGACAAAACACAUCUCUUUUGCAAAGAUCUUCAGAACCAGGGAAAAUGUCAGGAUGGUAGAAUUAAGUUCCCCUGCACCAGAGGAGAGACAGCCAGUGAGUAAAUCAUGUUCUGUCUCCUCGGCUCUAUGGGACUGUCUUCCAUUGGUGUGACUGAGAGAAUGAAAUGUAAAAAUGAGAGUUCAGCUCAACUGAUCUACAGAGGAAUGGGGAAGACUGGGGCAGCAGGAUAUGACGGUAACAAUGAUGAUGACAACAAUAAGGACAAUGACAAUGUUAAAGAAACUGGAAAGAAAGUUGUAUCAAAAAUGUCUGAGGGAGUUGGUAUGUUUAGCCUGGAGAUGAGAAGAUAAAGAGGUUUUGUAACAGCUAUCUUCAAAUAGCUGAUGGUCUGUCAUUGAAGAUAGGAAAAGAACAAGCUAGUAUCCAAUAAAGUGGGAUUUGAAAACCA
rnacentral:lncRNA from 1 species